UGCUGUGCAGGGAGUGUCGGCCACGUUUGGCGCACUGUCCCAGGGCCGGGGCGAAGGUGGCCAGGGGAAAUGGGGCUUAGGGAUCGCUAAGCAAACGGCACCACUGGUGGUCUACAAGCGUCUGCGGAGGUGAUAUGAAGGCAUGUUUGUCUACUGAGUCAAAAGAUGGGGAAAAAUAGAUGAUGUAGCAGAAGAAAGAGAUAAUUGAGUGAGUCCUUGAGAAGGCUGGAAAGGAGGGGAUCCGGAACACAACUGGCAGCGUUGGCUUUUGACAGGAACAAGAACAGAAACGGUUAGUUGUUCCCGAGUGAGAGAGGAAAGGCAGAGAGUGUGAGUCCAGCUGUGGAAAGAUGGCACAGAGGGAAAGAGGAGUCACCUACCAAGAGUUGAAUCAACCUCAGAGUUCCUGUUGACCCCAGGAGAGGAUUCCAAAUACACAAAUCAGGAAAACAGAGGGAGGCAAAUCUCUGAAUGUUAACCGUCCCUUGUUUGAAAAUCCUUGGAGGAAAAGAAAUUAACCACACAGAACCUGAGAGUGACUCUGGAAGCCAAAUUUAGAAAACAGAUCUCAAAAGGAGAAAAAAAGAAGUUUACAGAAAUGUCUUUAUUUAGAGAACGAGACUGUCCUGUCGUGUUGGCUUGAUUUGUGAGACUCGGUGACCACAUAAAGGCCGUACAUCUCUUUGACGAGCCAGUUCUCCUGGUCAUAGCGACUCAUGUAACCUGGUUCAGUGGCCAUUUUUGGCCACUGAAUCGACUAAAGCUGGAAGAAGCCCAUCUUGUGUAGGAGGGAUCUGGAAGAAGAAGCCAAGCUUUUCAUGUGGGUGUUCUAUCUUGAAUUCAGAAUGUCUAUACCAUUCUGUCUACUUCUGUUUUUAUUCUCAGUGAUUAUUAUAUAGUGACACAGCCUACUGCUACCAUGAACCAGUUUUUUCACAACCUGGUGGGCAGCCAUGCUGUAGUCAACAGGUCUGGCUUUCCAUUUCUCCGUGUUAUUCUGUUCAAAAACGUGAGCUUGAUCCAAAGGAAACACAUUUAUUAUCUUAAAGACAUAUCUUUACUCCUGUGUUCAUUGCAGUGUUGUUCACAAUAGCCUCAGUAUAGAAACAACCCCAGUGUCCAUCAAUGAAUGAAUGGAUAAAGAUGGGCUAUAUCCCUCUCUACAAAGUUAUUAUCAUUCAGCCUUAAAAAAGAAGAAAAUGCUUGGAUUUGCAACACCACGGGUGAACCUGGAGGGCAUUAUGCCAGGUGAAAUGAGUCAGACAAAGACAAAUACUGCAAGGUGUCCUUUAUGUGUGGAAUCUUAAAACAAAACAAACCAAGACAAAAUAAAACAAUGAAAUAAA